CUCUCUCUCUCUUUCUGUCUGCAUCCUUCGUACGUGCACAUCCACACUAGCCUUAUGGCUUUACCAUACACAGCUGAACUGAGUCAAACCACUUUCAGUACGCGGGUGGAGCUCAUUGUUGGAGAAGCACGUGAAAGCAUCACACAUCUGUCUCAACUGAGCACAUUUGCACUGCAGCCCGCUUUCAUAAACCAAGCAGGAAAGAAAAUUGCAUAAAUAACCAGGGGUGUCGUUAGCGACAGGAAAAUGAGAUAAUUAAAAAUGGUUCGUUCCCAAAGUACGACGUGCAAAACAGAACGCGCCGCACCCCGCUAUAACUCAGAGAAAAUCCACCGAACAUACGACAGUCACAGCCACGCCCCCUCUGCUCUGUAAUUCGAUAGAUCCAUCCGAAAGGCGGGCCUUUUUCGAAAUACGCCUAUGUCUAUUGGCUGGCUGUCGGGUAAAUCUAAUGCUGAUUUGCAUAAGCAGGUCAGGUUGCGGUUGCAGGGGAGUGGGCAGGGUUGGGAUAGCGCAAGUGAGCUGAACUUCUGCACUGGUGUAGUGUACUAUCCUCAAUUUGGUACUUUAGUGAAAAUGUAAUUUCUUUGAAUAAAAACGUGUCGUAUAUUUUAAUGGGACGUCAGUGAUGGCUGUUCAAUUCUCUCUUUAUCAAGCAAUUAACUGGUUUAUUGGAAUUUGAGUUUUCACAGGGGUUUUCCUUGUCUCCAUGGUUUCCUAUGGCAUCAUAUGGGAAUGUUUGAUUUCUGAAAGCAGGUAAGCCACUGACUAACGCACAUUGCGCCUAAUAUCCAUCCCACUGUGCGUGUGACAGCGGCUAACCAGCUUUUGGAUGUGUGGCUGCCUGUCUUCAUGAAUGUCCCACUUGAGGAUCCCUAAAGGAUCAAAUACAGUCACUGUUAUGGAUCUGACUGCAACGUCAAAGUGAUAGGUUUGAAUCCCAGGGAACAAGUCUCUUUAAAGCAUUUGCUGAAAUGUUAAUUUUGCUGUGACGUCAAGCUACGUGCAGGCAGUCACGAUGAUGUACAUCAUCCAUACUGUACAUGAGCUGAAGGAAAUGUAUUGUGAAAUAUUGAAUAAAUUGUUUAACCUGUUACUCUAGAAUGUUA